UCCCCACAUUUUUGAAGACGUCGGCCAACGCCGAGCGGAGCGAGCAGACCGCCCAUACGUCCGCUCGCAUUCUCCCGCGCGCUCGCGCGCACGCACGCCACGGCUAGACAAGCUCGAGGAAGCGGAGGUGGUGAAGGUGGCGUAGAAUCUCUGGGUCGUGUGCGUGCCGCGAGAGAAAGAGAGAAAACGCUUCUGGAAGUCGGUGGUAGUCGCUAUCGGUGCAUCUACGCCUCGGAUUACGCCUCGGUUUCUCAACGUUCACCUCCUCUCUUCCUCCUCCGCCUCUUUCACCACCGACCAGCCACCUCCAUUAUACUUUUCGUUCCAUCGAACGUGUCCCCGCGCGUUUUUCGAUCCUCGCGCCGCGCCGCCGUUACCGAUACUCGUUUCGCGCAAACGCGAGGAACGUGCCCGUCGCGAGCGGACAGCUUCCGGAAGGCUCGCGCGAGCGAUCCAGCCCACCUCGGCACGGUUCGAGUGAUUUAUCUCGCGAAAUUUCAACCGGACUCGGCUCGCUCGCCAAGCAUUCCGGAUAGAUUCGCGUAAUCGUGAGCGAAAGCUUGUAAUUAAUGGACCUGCUGCUCUUAAUUUUAUAUCGCGCGCCGCUUUUCCUUCGGACCAUCACCACUCGUGCAUGCAUACACCUAGAAACGUUUUCUAGCCUGUCAAGACGAUCUCCGAAACGCGAGUUCUCCAUAGAACUUUUGACUCUGAUGCUCAAGUCCACGGUGGUCCCACGGUCCAUCGGAACGCGAUCCGAGCGCGAGUUCCAUUACUUUCUCCUCUUUUUAUUUCAAUCGCAUCGCCUCUGUUCCAUCUGAACAGCCGGCAAGAGUAUCCGCGGCGAACGCUUCCGGAUCUGACCGGAAGGAUCAAACUUUCUGCGGUUUUGCGUACUAAUGCAUAUUAGCUUUCAUCAUGGUUUCCAGUCAAUCGAUAUCUUGAUUUUUCGAUCGACCGUCCAUCCGCUUCCGGUUCCCACUAUAAAGAUGCUCACUGUGAACGAUGUUUGAAUGAUAGCAAAGAUACGACUUGGCUGAGCGAUUCAAUUGCAGACAUGAUAUUAUGUACUGAAAACGUACGAUACGAAUUAUUGAAUAAAAUAUAUGAACGAGUUAAA